UCUUGAAACACGGACCAAGGAGUCUAACAUGUGCGCGAGUCAUUGGGAUCUCGAAGCCUAAAGGCGCAAUGAAAGUGAAGGUCGGCCUGGCGCCGACCGAGGGAGGAUGGUCCGCGUUACGAUGCGGUCCCGCACUCCCGGGGCGUCUCGUUCUCAUCGCGAGAAGAGGCGCACCCAGAGCGUACACGUUGGGACCCGAAAGAUGGUGAACUAUGCCUGGUCAGGACGAAGUCAGGGGAAACCCUGAUGGAGGUCCGUAGCGAUUCUGACGUGCAAAUCGAUCGUCGGAACUGGGUAUAGGGGCGAAAGACUAAUCGAACCAUCUAGUAGCUGGUUCCCUCCGAAGUUUCCCUCAGGAUAGCUGGCACUCGCGUGUUCGUAGAACUUAUGCGAGUCUCAUCUGGUAAAGCGAAUGAUUAGAGGCAUUGGGGCCGAAACGACCUCAACCUAUUCUCAAACUUUAAAUGGGUGAGAUCUCUGGCUUGCUUGAACGCUGAAGCCACGAGAUUUCGGAUCAGAGUGCCAAGUGGGCCAAUUUUGGUAAGCAGAACUGGC
rnacentral:rRNA from 1 species